CAUGCCGCGCAGCACGUUGGACAGGGCGCCCUUGAAGAACGCUUUGCCGCCUUCCUCCCGCGCUAUCUUCCGCCAGCAGUCCAGCGUGCCGGAGUACAUGAUGUCCGCUGUGUGGAGAGAGAGAGGCCCCAAAUCAGAACCACCCUUGCAGCGUCACCUGAAAAGCGACUUUGGGCCUCUUCCCAAACUGGCGGCCCCCCUCCAGCACGGCGAGCUCCAGCUGGGUGCACAG